AUUGAACGCUGGCGGCAGGCCUAACACAUGCAAGUCGAGCGGAUGAAGGGAGCUUGCUCCUGGAUUCAGCGGCGGACGGGUGAGUAAUGCCUAGGAAUCUGCCUGGUAGUGGGGGAUAACGUCCGGAAACGGGCGCUAAUACCGCAUACGUCCUGAGGGAGAAAGUGGGGGAUCUUCGGACCUCACGCUAUCAGAUGAGCCUAGGUCGGAUUAGCUAGUUGGUGGGGUAAAGGCCUACCAAGGCGACGAUCCGUAACUGGUCUGAGAGGAUGAUCAGUCGCACUGGAACUGAGACACGGUCCAGACUCCUACGGGAGGCAGCAGUGGGGAAUAUUGGACAAUGGGCGAAAGCCUGAUCCAGCCAUGCCGCGUGUGUGAAGAAGGUCUUCGGAUUGUAAAGCACUUUAAGUUGGGAGGAAGGGCAGUAAGUUAAUACCUUGCUGUUUUGACGUUACCAACAGAAUAAGCACCGGCUAACUUCAUG
rnacentral:rRNA from 1 species